rnacentral:rRNA from 1 species
AGAUCAAGCUAUAAAGGGCGCAUGGCGAAUGCCUUGGCAUCAGGAGUCGAAGAAGGUCGCGAUAAGCUGCGAAAAGCUUGGGGUAGACGCACAUAGUCUGAGAUCCCAAGAUCACCGAAUGAGGCAACUCACUGGGGAAACCCCCAGUAUCCGUACAUGAAUAAAUAGUGUGCGGAGGACAAACCCAGGGAACUGAAACAUCUUAUUACCUGGAGGAAGAGAAAGAAAAAUCGAUUUCCCUAGUAGCGGCGAGCGAAAAGGAAAGAGCCCAAACCGGAGGACAUGUCCUCCGGGGUUGCGGGGAACCCAUCACGAAGAAGGAAUCAAGCGGAACACAGCUGGAAAGCUGGACCACAGGGGGUAACAGUCCCGUACGCGAAAGAGGAUAGCUUCAGGGUUCUACCAGAGUACCACGAGACACGUGAAACCUUGUGGGAAGCAGGGAGGACCACCUCCCAAGGCUAAAUACUACCUGAUGACCGAUAGUGAAGCAGUACCGUGAGGGAAAGGUGAAAAGAACCCCGGAAGGGGAGUGAAAUAGAAUCUGAAACCGUGCGCCUACAACCGGCCAGAGCACCAUACGAGUGUGAUGGCGUGCUUUUUGUAGAACGAGCCAACGAGUUACGAUGUGCAGCGAGGUUAAGUACUUAAGGUACGGAGCCGAAGGGAAACCGAGUCUGAACAGGGCGAAUAGUUGCAUGUCGUAGACCCGAAACCGGGUGACCUAUCCAUGGCCAGGUUGAAGCGAGAGUAAAAUCUCGUGGAGGACCGAACCAAACUGGUGUUGAAAAACCAUGGGAUGAGCUGUGGAUAGCGGAGAAAUUCCAAUCGAACCCGGAGAUAGCUGGUUCUCCUCGAAAUAGCUUUAGGGCUAGCGUCGGAUAUGAGUCAUGGAGGUAGAGCACUGAAUGGGCUAGGGGGCAUAUCGCUUACCGAACCUUAUCAAACUCCGAAUGCCAUGAACUAUAGAGUCCGGCAGUCAGACUGUGUAAGAUAAGUUUCAUAGUCGAAAGGGAAACAGCCCAGACCGUCAGCUAAGGUCCCAAAGUACAGGUUAAGUGGAAAAGGAUGUGGGAUUUCCAAGACAACUAGGAUGUUGGCUUAGAAGCAGCCACUCAUUAAAAGAGUGCGUAAUAGCUCACUAGUCGAGAGAUCCCGCGCCGAAGAUGUCCGGGGCUAAAACCUGUCACCGAAGCUACGGGUGCGAGUCGAAAGACUUGCGCGGUAGAGGAGCGUCCUGUAUGGGGAGAAGCCGUACCGAAAGGAGCGGUGGACUGUACAGGAGUGAGAAUGUUGGCAUAAGUAGCGAGAUGCGGGUGAGAAUCCCGCAGGUCGAAAAUCUAAGGUUUCCUGAGGAAGGCUCGUCCGCUCAGGGUUAGUCGGGACCUAAGCCGAGGCCGAAAGGCGUAGGUGAUGGACAAUCGGUUGAUAUUCCGAUACCGCUUUCAAGCGUUUGACCAAUGGGGUGACGCAGGAGGAUAGGGAGUGCGUACUGAUGGAUGUACGUCCAAGCAUUUAGGGAGUACAGGGAGGAAAAUCCCCCUGUAUAAUUCUGAGGUGUAACGGGGAGUUGCCUACGGGCAGCGAGUACCUGAUUCCACGCUGCCAAGAAAAGCCUCUAGGGAGUGAGAGAGCGCCCGUACCGCAAACCGACACAGGUAGAUGAGGAGAGAAUCCUAAGACCAUCGGAAGAAUUGUUGUUAAGGAACUCGGCAAAUUAACCCCGUAACUUCGGGAGAAGGGGUACCGGAGCCAUCCGGUCGCAGUGAAAUGGCCCAAGCAACUGUUUAGCAAAAACACAGGUCUCUGCUAAAGCGAAAGCUGAAGUAUAGGGGCUGACGCCUGCCCGGUGCUGGAAGGUUAAGGGGAAUGCUUAGCGCAAGCGAAGGUGUGAACUUAAGCCCCAGUAAACGGCGGCCGUAACUAUAACGGUCCUAAGGUAGCGAAAUUCCUUGUCAGGUAAGUUCUGACCCGCACGAAUGGCGUAAUGACUUGGGCACUGUCUCAACAACAAAUCCGGCGAAAUUGUAGUGCAAGUGAAGAUGCUUGCUACCCGCGAUUGGACGGAAAGACCCCGUAGAGCUUUACUGUAGCUUAGCAUUGAGUUUCGAUAUUCGCUGUACAGGAUAGGUGGGAGACUGGGAAGGAAGGCCGUCAGGUUUUCUGGAGUCGACCUUGGGAUACCACCCUGCGAGUAUUGGGAUUCUAACCGGAGGCCAUGAUCUGGUCACGGGACAUUGUUAGGUGGGCAGUUUGACUGGGGCGGUCGCCUCCUAAAAAGUAACGGAGGCGCCCAAAGGUUCCCUCAGAACGGUCGGAAAUCGUUCGAAGAGUGCAAAGGCAGAAGGGAGCCUGACUGCGACACCCACAAGUGGAGCAGGGACGAAAGUCGGGCUUAGUGAUCCGGUGGUACCUCGUGGGAGGGCCAUCGCUCAACGGAUAAAAGCUACCUCGGGGAUAACAGGCUGAUCUCCCCCAAGAGUCCACAUCGACGGGGAGGUUUGGCACCUCGAUGUCGGCUCGUCGCAUCCUGGGGCUGAAGUAGGUCCCAAGGGUUGGGCUGUUCGCCCAUUAAAGCGGCACGCGAGCUGGGUUCAGAACGUCGUGAGACAGUUCGGUCCCUAUCCGUCGCGGGCGUAGGAAAUUUGAAGGGAGCUGUCCUUAGUACGAGAGGACCGGGAUGGACCAACCUCUGGUGCACCAGUUGUCACGCCAGUGGCAUAGCUGGGUAGCUACGUUGGGACGGGAUAAACGCUGAAAGCAUCUAAGCGUGAAGCCCACCCUAAGAUGAGAUUUCCCACAGCGUAAGCUGGUAAGAUCCCUUGAAGAACACAAGGUAGAUAGGUGAGAGGUGUAAGUGCAGCAAUGCAUUCAGCUGACUCAUACUAAUAGAUCGAGGGCUUGAUCAA